CCUACGGGAGGCUGCAGUCGAGGAUCUUCGGCAAUGGGCGGAAGCCUGACCGAGCGACGCCGCGUGUGCGAUGAAGGCCUUCGGGUUGUAAAGCACUGUCGUGGGGGAGAAUCGACCCCAGGAGGAAGCUCGGGCUAAGUUCGUGCCAGCAGCCGCGGUAAGACGAACCGAGCGAACGUUAUUCGGAAUCACUGGGCUUAAAGGGCGCGUAGGCGGGCCGUCAAGUCGAGGGUGAAAGCCCCCAGCUCAACUGGGGAAGUGCCUCCGAUACUGGCGGCCUCGAGGGGGAUAGGGGCGUGCGGAACUUCCGGUGGAGCGGUGAAAUGCGUAGAUAUCGGAAGGAACACCGGUGGCGAAAGCGGCGCGCUGGUCCUUCUGACGCUGAGGCGCGAAAGCCAGGGGAGCGAACGGGAUUAGAUACCCUUGUAGUC
rnacentral:rRNA from 1 species